rnacentral:sRNA from 1 species
GCUGGGCAUGGUGGCACAUGCCUAUAAUCCCAGCGGCUGGGGAGGCUGAGACAGGAGAAUCACAAGUUCAAGGCCAGCCUCAGCAAUGGUGAGGCAUUAAGCAACUCAGUGAGACCCUAUCUCUA